UUUCCCAUUUUUUGCCUCUUUUUCAAAAAUUGAAAAAUUGGCUAUAUAUAGCCUUACUUUUUGUCCAUUUUUAGACAAUUUUUCAAUUUUUGAAAAAGAGACAAAAAAUGGCAAA